CUACUACUCCCUCCGUUCGGAAUUACUUGUCUUAAAAAUGGAUGUAUUUAGAACUAAAAUACGUCUAGAUGCAUCCAUUUCCGAGACAAGUAAUUCCGAACGGAGGGAGUAGAUG
rnacentral:pre_miRNA from 1 species